rfam:Bacteroides luti strain DSM 26991 genome assembly, contig: Ga0131163_115
GGUUCCACCUCUUCCCAUUCCGAACAGAGAAGUUAAGCCUGAUCACGCCGAUGGUACUGCGUAACAGUGGGAGAGUAGGUAGCUGCCGUUU